rnacentral:ncRNA from 56 species
AACAUUCAACGCUGUCGGUGAGU